UACGAAGGGGGCUAGCGUUGCUCGGAAUUACUGGGCGUAAAGGGCGCGUAGGCGGGUCGUUAAGUUAGAGGUGAAAGCCCAGGGCUCAACCCCUGGAAUUGCCUUUAAUACUGGCGGCCUUGAGUAUGGCAGAGGUGUGUGGAACUCCGAGUGUAGAGGUGAAAUUCGUAGAUAUUCGGAAGAACACCAGUGGCGAAGGCGACACACUGGGCCAUUACUGACGCUGAGGCGCGAAAAGCGUGGGGAGCAAACAGGG
rnacentral:rRNA from 1 species